CUUGACAAAAACAUGAACUUGAAGAUCACAAAAUGUCAGAACCUCUUCUUAUCAAUUAUCAUCAAAACAAAACCUUCCGUUUCCUUAGAUUUAAUUUAGUUUAACAGUCUCUUUUCAGUUCAACAAUGGCUUCCUGAGAACUAUAAUUAUUGAGCCGAAAGCCAGGCCAGCAACUGACAGUUAAAAGUAAUAACACUCUCCCAAACUAUUACUAAUCUCUACCCAUCAAAACUCCCCUACCCACCAUCACCCAUGUCCACGAGCACCACCGUGGAGCCAACGCCGCCCUCGUCGCUUAUCCCAUCCUUGCCAGACGACGUGGCUUUGAACAUCAUAGCUCGAGUCCCAAGAUGCUACCACCCAAUUCUUUCAUUAGUCUCAAAAUCAAUGAGAUCCCUCAUUUCUUCCCCUCUCCUUUACACCACUCGUUCCCUCCUCAAUUCUUCCCAACACUUCCUUUACAUCUCUCUCCGCCUCCCCACCAGCCCUGUCCUACGCUUCUACACUCUCUACCAAAAUCCCACCAAACCAAAAAGUCUCAAAAAUAUCCUCGUCCCUCUCCCUCUUAUCCCUUCCACCUCCCUCGCCGGCUCCUCGUUCGCCUCCCUCGGCCACAAAAUCUACGUUCUCGGAGGCUCCAUAGCGGACAUCCCUUCUUCACACGUGUGGUCCCUUGACUGCCGGACCCACACUUGGGAACCAGCUCCGAACAUGCAUGUUUCCCGCGAGUUUGCCGCCGCCGGAGUCGUUGACGGUAAAAUUUAUGUCAUCGGCGGCUGCGUGGUUGAUAAUUGGGCUCGGUCGAAGAACUGGGCUGAAGUUUACGAUCCCAAAACGGGGAAAUGGAAUGCGGUUCCGAGUCCCGUUGAAAUCCGGUAUAAAUGGAUGCAUGCAAGCGCGGUUAUUGAUGGGAAAGUUUAUGCAAUGGCGGAUAGACAUGGACUUUGUUAUGAGGUCAAAAGUGGGAGUUGGGGAACGGUGGACACUGAUUUGGAUAAUGGGUGGAGGGGAAGAGCGUGUGUGAUUGAUGGGGUUUUGUUUUGUUACGAUUAUUUGGGGAAAAUAAGAGGGUAUGAUGUGAAGGAAGGGAUUUGGAAGGAGUUGAAAGGGUUGGAGGAAGAAUUGCCGAGGUUUUUAUGCGGUGCUACGAUGGCGAAUUUGGGAGGGAAGUUGAUAGUUGUUUGGGAAUCAAAAAAUGGAGGUAGCAAGGAAAUGGAGAUUUGGUGCGCGGAGAUUGAGGUGAAGAAGGAUGAAGGAGGGGAGUUGUGGGGCAGAACUGAGUGGUCUGAUGUUGUUCUUACAGUUCCUACGAGAUCUUCCAUUGUGCAUUGUUUGGCGGUUACGUUGUGAGAUUGGAUGGAGGAUUGUCUGGGGGAAUAUGUGGAGCCAGAGGGAGCAAGCUUCAGAUUGAGCCCUAUGAAUAUGAUUGUGGCAUUAAGCUGUUAUCUCCUUGGAAUGACAUCGCAAUGACCUGCGAAAUUGUUUCUCCUUUGGCUCAGGUCUUUUGUGCUUCAUUGUAAUUGAAUGAACAUAUGGUAUGAUGCUAAUGGGAAAAGCUCGGACCCGGAAUUGCCUCAUAUCAAUGUCUUCUGUUCGGCUUCAUCUUGUAUUGAAUUCGAGCAAUGCAUGAAAUCUGUAGCUUUUCUGCUUAAGUUCUGAUACACAAGGUAAUGGUUCAUUUAAAGUAGCUUUUAGGCAGCCAUGUUAGUAGACAACUCUCGCAGAUGCACUAUUUUCAUUCCCCAAACUGUAGUCAGCUACAAGUCUUUUUACUUUAAUUAUAUGGGUGGAAAGUAGUUAGAACCUAUAAACACCUCCACUCAAUGAUUGUAUUAAACCAAUGAAGAAUUGCAAUAACUAUGAUAAUCAUAAAGGAAUUGCUUACAAAAGCUUCCCCAUUUGUACAGGGUAAAUGCUGAACAGCUCCAAUCAUAAAAGUUUUAAGUUAAUAUUAUUACUUUUCUUGUCAUUAUCUCAGAAUGCCUCUACAUAGAAACUAGUUCUCUUUCUCUACUGACGGGACAAAAGGAUGGAAAGAAAACUAUUUU